rnacentral:misc_RNA from 3 species
AACGCACAUUGCGCCCUGUGGUAUUCCACAGGGCAUGCCUGUUUGAGCGUCAUUUCUCCCUCAAACCUCUGGUUUGGCGUUGAGUGAUACUCGGUUUACUUGAAAAACAUGAAAAGCAUAACUAUUAGGUUUUACCAACUCGUUAUACUAAUCUACAAGUUUGACCUCAAAUCAGGUAGGACUACCCGCUGAACUUAA